rnacentral:rRNA from 9 species
GCGACCCCAGGAUGGGCGAGGCCACCCGCUG